UAGUAGUGUAAUGGAUGCAAGCU
rnacentral:piRNA from 1 species